CGGUCACCAAUCUAAAAAGUUCAUGCUUGUGUCAUUUUCUUUAUUCCGGUCAAAUGUGUUCCACGAUUCUAACACUUUUGGGUUUCAUUCACAGUCCAAAUUUUUUGACACAAAGUUAUUGCAUAAAUAAAAUAAAUCCAAGGUGUUUUACUCACAAACAUUUGUGUCAUUUGUGACAUACGCUACGGCGAUUUGCGUUCUUGGACACAGCGUAUUACUCGUAACCCGAAUAUUUCACGCCCUUCUCGUAAUCAAUCUCUAUUCUCGG
rnacentral:lncRNA from 1 species